ACKGCUCAGUAACACGUGGCUAACCCACCCUCGGGACGGAGACAACCCCGGGAAACUGGGACUAAUACCCGAUAGGCGAGGACUCCUGGAAUGGGUCUUCACCCAAAAGGCGUUGCAGUCAUGCUCUGUAACAUCGCCCGAGGACGGGGCCGCGACCGAUCAGGUAGUUGGCGAGGCAACGGCUCACCAAGCCUAUAACCGGUACGGGCCGUGGGAGCGGGAGCCCGGAGAUGGGCACUGAGACAAGGGCCCAGGCCCUACGGGGCGCAGCAGUUGCGAAAACUUGUCAAUGCACGAAAGUGUGAACGGGCUACCCCGAGUGCCGUCCGCUGAGGAUGGCUUUUCUCUGCUGUAAGAAGGCGGAGGAAUAAGGAGAGGGCAGGUCUGGUGUCAGCCGCCGCGGUAAUACCAGCUCUCCGAGUGGUAGGGAUGAUUAUUGGGCUUAAAGCGUCCGUAGCCGGCCUUUCAAGUCUUUCGUUAAAUCCAGCGACUAAUCGUUGGACUGCGGGAGAUACUGUUUGGCUAGGGGGCGGGAGAAGCCGACGGUAUUCUUGGGGUAGGGGUAAAAUCCUAUAAUCCCAGGAAGACCACCAGUGGCGUAGGCGGUCGGCUAGCACGCGCUCGACGGUGAGGGACGAAAGCUGGGGGAGCGAACCGGAUUAGAUACCCGGGUAGUCCCAGCUGUAAACGAUGCAGGCUAGGUGUUAGGGCGGCUACGUGCCGCUCUAGUGCCGCAGGGAAGCUGUUAAGCCUGCCGCCUGGGGAGCACGGCCGCAAGGCUGAAACUUAAAGGAAUUGGCGGGGGAGCAC
rnacentral:rRNA from 1 species